rnacentral:rRNA from 1 species
UCUGAUGUGAAAGCCCCCGGCUCAACCGGGGAGGGUCAUUGGAAACUGGGAGACUUGAGUGCAGAAGAGGAGAGUGGAAUUCCAUGUGUAGCGGUGAAAUGCGUAGAUAUAUGGAGGAACACCAGUGGCGAAGGCGGCUCUCUGGUCUGUAACUGACGCUGAGGCUCGAAAGCGUGGGGAGCGAACAGGAUUAGAUACCCUGGUAGUCCACGCCGUAAACGAUGAGUGCUAAGUGUUGGAGGGUUUCCGCCCUUCAGUGCUGCAGCAAACGCAUUAAGCACUCCGCCUGGGGAGUACGACCGCAAGGUUGAAACUCAAAGGAAUUGACGGGGGCCCGCA